GGGGGGGGCAAGCGUUGUUCGGAAUUACUGGGCGUAAAGGGCUCGUAGGCGGCCAACUAAGUCAGACGUGAAAUCCCUCGGCUUAACCGGGGAACUGCGUCUGAUACUGGAUGGCUUGAGUUUGGGAGAGGGAUGCGGAAUUCCAGGUGUAGCGGUGAAAUGCGUAGAUAUCUGGAGGAACACCGGUGGCGAAGGCGGCAUCCUGGACCAACACUGACGCUGAGGAGCGAAAGCCAGGGGAGCAAACGGGAUUAGAUACCCCGGUAGUCCUGGCCCUAAACGAUGAAUGCUUGGUGUGGCGGGUAUCGAUCCCUGCCGUGCCGAAGCUAACGCAUUAAGCAUUCCGCCUGGGGAGUACGGUCGCAAGGCUGAA
rnacentral:rRNA from 1 species